rnacentral:rRNA from 1 species
GACGAACGCUGGCGGCGCGCCUAACACAUGCAAGUCGAACGGAGCCAAGAGGUGCUUGCUUUUCUUGACUUAGUGGCGAACGGGUGAGUAACGCGUGAGUAACCUGCACUGGAGUGGGGGACAACAGUUGGAAGCGACUGCUAAUACCGCAUAAGCUCACGCAUCCGCAUGGUUCUGAGGGCAAAGGAGUUAUUCGCGUCAGGGUGGACGCGCGUCCAAUUAGCUAGUUGGUGAGGUAACGGCCCACCAAGGCGACGAUUGGUAGCCGGACUGAGAGGUUGAACGGCCACAUUGGGAGUGGGACACGGCCCAGACUCCUACGCGAGGCAGCAGUGGGGGAUAUUGCACAAUGGGGGAAACCCUGAUGCAGCGACGCCGCGUGGAGGAAGAAGGUUUUCGGAUUGUAAACUCCUGUCGUCAGGGACGAUAAUGACGGUACCUAACAAGAAAGCACCGGCUAACUACGUG